GCAGUCGAACGGUAGCACAGGAGAGCUUGCUCUUUGGGUGACGAGUGGCGGACGGGUGAGUAAUGUCUGGGAAACUGCCCGAUGGAGGGGGAUAACUACUGGAAACGGUAGCUAAUACCGCAUAACGUCUACGGACCAAAGUGGGGGACCUUCGGGCCUCACACCAUCGGAUGUGCCCAGAUGGGAUUAGCUUGUUGGUGAGGUAAUGGCUCACCAAGGCGACGAUCCCUAGCUGGUCUGAGAGGAUGACCAGCCACACUGGAACUGAGACACGGUCCAGACUCCUACGGGAGGCAGCAGUGGGGAAUAUUGCACAAUGGGCGCAAGCCUGAUGCAGCCAUGCCGCGUGUAUGAAGAAGGCCUUCGGGUUGUAAAGUACUUUCAGCGGGGAGGAAGGGAGUGAGGUUAAUAACCUCGUUCAUUGACGUUACCCGCAGA
rnacentral:rRNA from 1 species